rnacentral:rRNA from 1 species
AUUGAACGCUGGCGGCAGGCCUAAAACAUGCAAGUCGAACGAGUGGCGGACGGGUGAGUAAUGUCUGGGAAACUGCCUGAUGGAGGGGGAUAACUACUGGAAACGGUAGCUAAUACCGCAUACCAUCGGAUGUGCCCAGAUGGGAUUAGCUAGUAGGUGGGGUAAAGGCUCACCUAGGCGACGAUCCCUAGCUGGUCGGAGAGGAUGACCAGCCAAGCUGGAACUGAGACACGGUCCAGAGUCCUACGCGGGGCAGCAUUGGAGAAUAUUGCACAAUGGGCGCAAGCCUGAUGCAGCCAUGCGGCGUGUAUGAAGAAGGCCUUCGGGUUGGAAAGUACUUUCAGCGGGGAGGCGUUACGCGCAGAAGAAGCGCCGACUAACUCCGUGCCAGCAGCCGCGGUAAUAC